AUACGGAGGAUGCAAGCGUUAUCCGGAUUUAUUGGGUUUAAAGGGUGCGUAGGCGGUUUGCUAAGCGGGAGGUGAAAUGCCGGCGCUCAACGUCGGAAGUGCCUCCCGAACUGGUGGACUGGAAUGACUCUGCCGUGGCAGGAAUGUGUAGUGUAGCGGUGAAAUGCUUAGAGAUUACACAGAACACCGAUUGCGAAGGCAUCUCACGAAGGGUUGAUUGACGCUGAGGCACGAAAGCGUGGGGAUCAAACAGGAUUAGAUACCCUGGUAGUCCACGCAGUAAACGAUGAUGGCUAACCGCUGGUUUUUUCGGAUCAGUGGCCAAGCGAAAGCGAUAAGCCAUCCACCUGGGGAGUACGACCGCAAGGUUGAAACUCAAAGGAAUUGACGGGG
rnacentral:rRNA from 1 species